rnacentral:lncRNA from 1 species
CUAAGGCUGGACCAGGGCUGCCUGGGACACUCGAUUCAGUGUGCGCCUCGUCUUCUCGGUGCUGGAAGCUUCUUAGUGGUGGAGAGACCCCUGAGGUCUGCACAGCACUGCACCCAGGGCAACUCCCCCGCGCCUCCCCCACGGCUGGGCCGGCCCACUGGUUCCCAUCCUCAUGGGUCUCGCUGCUUGACUGGCUCAGCGUGGGCUACCUGGUGGAUGGAAAACUGGAGCCAGGAGACCUGGUUCUGGUCUCAGCUCUGCCACGUUCUAGCUCUGGAACCUGGGGGAGUUCUCCCUGAGGAGCCCCCUUUUCCUCGCAGAGAUGUCGUUCAAGUGCAGAAUGAAGAGACAGCCGGGCCGGGGAAGGGGGCUGCAGAGGGGUCCGAAUCUGGGAUGCUGCUUUCACUGUGCCACCCUGGGCGAGCCCUUGUCCUCGUGGCACCUGCGUUCUCCACCUGCCCGUUCUCCAAGGCCCCUUUAGCAGCCCUGCCAGCCCCCUGCCCUUCCUCCCUGCCCUCCCGCCACUCGGCUGGCAUCUGCAGAGCACGGAACGACAAGGCCCCACUCCGCACCCGACUGGCUGGCAUUUCGGCUCACAGACACCUCUCCCCGAGAAGCAGCUCUCAUUUCCACCCCGUGAGAAACGGUCGUCUCGCACCCAGGCGGCCCCCGCCCAACGUGGGGCAGCCAGCUGCUUCCACGGUGGGGACCGAGGGCCUGGCCUGGGCUCCCAGAACAACGAUGGGGGCCCCUUUGCACUGGCCUGGAGGGAGCACAGACGCACGGCAGGAGGUCCAGCGCCAAAGGAGAACACCCACGGCUGAGCGCUUUCAAGCCAAGACCCUUGAUGCGGCCCAGGAGCCCAGGAGUCCUGGACCGGCUCUCACAAUUUUCCGUUGUGAAGUCUUCCCAUGGCGACUGGCCUCCCCCUCUCUGCUGUCUAACACCUGCAGCCUCGGUGUCUCCCGGGCCGAUGCUCAAAGUUUCCACUUUAGUAUCCAGUUGCCCUGGUCUGGCC